AACGAACGCUGGCGGCAUGCCUAACACAUGCAAGUCGAACGAGACCUUCGGGUCUAGUGGCGCACGGGUGCGUAACGCGUGGGAAUCUACCCUUGGGUUCGGAAUAACUCAGAGAAAUUUGAGCUAAUACCGGAUGAUGUCGCAAGACCAAAGAUUUAUCGCCCAAGGAUGAGCCCGCGUAGGAUUAGCUUGUUGGUGAGGUAAAAGCUCACCAAGGCGACGAUCCUUAGCUGGUCUGAGAGGAUGAUCAGCCACACUGGGACUGAGACACGGCCCAGACUCCUACGGAGGCAGCAGUGGGGAAUAUUGGACAAUGGGGGCAACCCUGAUCCAGCAAUGCCGCGUGAGUGAUGAAGGCCUUAGGGUUGUAAGCUUUUUUACCAGGGACGAUGAUGACGGUACCUGGAGAAUAAGCCCCGGCUAACUUCGUGCCAGCAGCCGCGGUAA
rnacentral:rRNA from 1 species